rnacentral:rRNA from 1 species
AUUUUGACUGUACAAAGGUAGCAUAAUCAAUAGUCUCUUAAUUGGUGACUUGUAUGAAAGAUUGGAUGAGAUAUAUACUGUCUCUAAUUAAUUUAUUGAAAUUAAUUUUUUAGUAAAAAAGCUAAAAUAAUUUUAAAAGACGAGAAGACCCUAUAGAGUUUAAUAAUUUAUUUAAUUAUUAUUAAUAUAUAAUUUUUAAAAUUAAAAUUAAAUAAAUUAUUUUGUUGGGGUGAUAAAAAAAUUAAAUUAACUUUUUUUAAUUAUUAACAUUAAUUUAUGAAUAAAUGAUCCAUUUAUAGUGAUUAAAAGAAAAAAUUACCUUAGGGAUAACAGCGUAAUUUUUUUUUUUAGUUCAAAUAGGAAAAAAAGUUUGCGACCUCG